rnacentral:rRNA from 1 species
UACGAAGGGUGCAAGCGUUACUCGGAAUUACUGGGCGUAAAGCGUGCGUAGGCGGUCUGUUAAGUCCGUUGUGAAAGCCCUGGGCUCAACCUGGGAAUUGCAGUGGAUACUGGCGGGCUAGAGUGCGGUAGAGGAUGGUGGAAUUCCCGGUGUAGCGGUGAAAUGCGCAGAUAUCAGGAGGAACACCGAUGGCGAAGGCAGCUCGCUGGGACGGUACUGACGCUGAGGCGCGAAAGCGUGGGGAGCAAACAGG